AGGAAAGAAAAAAACAAUCUCUUCCUACAGAUGGACAAGGCGGUUGUCCCAAUGCAAUGGAAAGAAGCUUCAAAAAGUUAAAAAGACAGAAAACAGAACGGAGUGCUGGAACUGAGAAUGGAAACUCUAGCAAAAGCGAAAUGGCAACACAGCAGACGCAUGACUCGCAGUGUUCACCCCCAGGAGAGGCAAGCCUAGAAGACUGCUUGGUUAGUUGGAUGAGAAAGGAUGAGAACCAUUUUUUUCAUUACGAAAAAUUUAAAGAUGGUGAUUCAACUGCAGACUGUGAUGAUACAGACGAUAGUGAUGAUGAAGAUGAUGAUUAUCAUGAAGAGGAUGAUAUUAAUAGUGGCCAUAAAGUUGGGAAUAUUGAUGAGACUUCAAUAACUGCUAUUGAACAGAAAGAAUAUCCUCAUGAAGGUGGUGAUGAGGGAUUACUUAUACCAUAUUUGGAAAGUUCCUCUGGUGUUCAGCUUGAGCCAACAUUUUCAAUUGUGAGCCAAGAAACGAAUGAAAACCAAAAUGAAAAUGGUAUGGCACCUGAUACACAGCCAGGUUAUGAUAAGAGGGAACUCAAAAGACUUGACAGGAAAGAGACCCAAAAUACUGGAGGACAUAAAGAACUAUCUGAGUUCCUUAGUUUUGAUAAAGAGGUCUGUCAUAGCCUAUCAUUACAAAAAAAAAAAAAAAACCUCCAAAGGUGGCUUUCUGUCCAAAAGAAGUGAAGAAAAUUAUUGAGUCAAAUAUCCUGUUACAGAAAAAUGCUCAGUCUCACACCAUAAGAAAAAUUAUAGUUUUUGCAUCUCUCUGUAUAAGGCAUGGAUGUGAAGAUAUGUAUGAGUUGGACUUCAAUCAUUUUAGCAUUCUGAGGAAGGGAGAACCAUAUGUAUCUCCCACGAAUCCUGGGUUGAAUUGUUCCAGAUAUGUUAGGCAGCGGAUGGGAAGAAACAAGCUGAAGUCUUUUGGGCCACUGAUGUGUCGAAUAGCAAUGCUAGUUCAUGUUUGCACUGGAAGCUUCUUCUUUAAGGCCUUAGGCAUCACACUUCUGUUCAUGGCUGGUUUUCCCGAGGACCUGGUUCAAAGGGAAACAAAAUACCGGAACUUGGACUUACUCCAAAAAUAUUAUAGGGAAACUAUGUCAAGAUUUCUAGCUCCAUUCAUGAAGAUUGAGGACUUCAGUCAUUUUACAGCCCA